GACGAACGCUGGCGGCGUGCUUAACACAUGCAAGUCGAACGAUGAAGGAGGAGCUUGCUCCUCUGGAUUAGUGGCGAACGGGUGAGUAACACGUGAGCAAUCUGCCCUUGACUCUGGGAUAAGCGCUGGAAACGGCGUCUAAUACCGGAUACGACCCUCGGAGGCAUCUCCUGUGGGUGGAAAGAACUUCGGUCAAGGAUGAGAUCGCGGCCUAUCAGCUUGUUGGUGAGGUAAUGGCUCACCAAGGCGACGACGGGUAGCCGGCCUGAGAGGGUGACCGGCCACACUGGGACUGAGACACGGACCAGACUCCUACGGGAGGCAGCAGUGGGGAAUAUUGCACAAUGGGCGCAAGCCUGAUGCAGCAACGCCGCGUGAGGGACGACGGCCUUCGGGUUGUAAACCUCUUUUAGCAGGGAAGAAGCGAGAGUGACGGUACCUGCAGAAAAAGCACCGGCUAACUACGUGCCAGCCGCCGCCGUAAAAC
rnacentral:rRNA from 1 species